rnacentral:rRNA from 1 species
AAUAACACCUCCAGAAUCGCGUCGGUCUCUGUACCGGCGACUUAUCUUUCAAAUGCCUGACUAUCAACUGACGAUGGUAGACUCUGCGUCUACCAUGGUCGUUACGGGUAACGGGGAAUCAGGGUUCGAUUCCGGAGAGGGAGCCUGAGAAACGGCUACCACAUCCAAGGAAGGCAGCAGGCACGCAAAUUACCCACUCCCGGCACGGGGAGGUAGUGACAAAAAAUAACGAUACGGGACUCUUUUAGAGGCCCCGUAAUCGGAAUGAAUACACUUUAAAACCUUGUUUAAAGGUCAAUCGGAGGGAAAGUCUGGUGCCAGCAGCCGCGGUAACUCCAGCUCCGAUAGCGUAUAUUAAAAUUGUUGCGGUUAAAAAGCUCGUAGUUGGUUCUGCGUACCACGCUGUCGGUACACCGCCUGUCGGUGACACUGGCAUGCCGUGGUAUGUCCUGUCGGUGGCGGCCGUCUAAGCCACGCGGAAAGCGGCACCGGGUUAUGCCGAGCCGUGUUUCUUCCGCGAGGCCCAAGCGCGGUCGCCGACUCCUAUCCUACCGCGGUGCUCUUCAUUGAGUGUCGAGGUAGGCCGACACGUUUACUUUGAACAAAUUAGAGUGCUUAAAGCAGGCUCAAAUCUCUGCCUGAAUAGUGGUGCAUGGAAUAAUGGAACAGGCCCUUGGUCCUAUUCUGUUGGUCUCCGGGACACAAGGUAAUGAUCAAUAUGGACAGUGCGGGGGCAUUCGUAUUGCGGCGUUAGAGGUGAAAUUCUUGGCUCUUCGCAAGACGCACUAGAGCGAAAGCAUUUGCCAAGUAUGUCUUAAUGAUCAAGAACGAACCUGUAGUAAACCAGGCCCAAGCCGGCCCGUCUCCGCCGAUGUUCCUCCGAUGACUCGGCGGGGAGCUUCCCCCGGGAAACCAAAGCGUUUGGGAACGGGGGAAGUAUGGUUGCAAAGCUGAAACUUAAAGGAAUUGACGGAAGGGCACCACCAGGAGUGGAGCCUGCGGCUUAAUUUGACUCAACACGGGAAACCUCACCAGGUCAGGACAUUGGAAUGAUUGACAGAUUGAUAGCUCUUUCUUGAUUCAGUGGGUAGUGGUGCAUGGCCGUUCUUAGUUGGUGGACCGAUUUGUCUGGUUAAUUCCGAUAACGAACGAGACUCUAGCCUAUUAACUAGACGUUUCCGGUAUCGUAGCUACCGGCGAAAAUCUCUCUUCUUAGGGGGACAGGCGGCUUUUAGCCGCACGAGAUUGAGCAAUAACAGGUCUGUAAUGCCCUUAGAUGUCCUGGGCCGCACGCGCGCUACACUGAAGGAAUCAGCGUGUGUCUUCCCUUGGCCGAAAGGUCCGGGUAACCCGCUGAACCUCCUUCGUGCUAGGAAUUGGGGCUUGCAAUUGUUCCCCAUGAACGAGGAAUUCCCAGUAAGCGCGAGUCAUAAGCUGGCGUUGAUUACGUCCCUGCCCUUUGUACACACCGCCCGUCGCUGCUACCGAUUGAAUGGUUUAGUGAGGUCUUCGGACUGGCGGUAAGCGGGACCGUCUUCGUGUCGGUCUCGCCGAACGCUGGGAAGAUGACCAAACUUGAGCAUUUAGAGGAAGCAAAAGUCUUACAAGGUUUCCGUAAGUGAACCUGCAAAGGAACA